rnacentral:rRNA from 1 species
CCCUUAGAUGUUCUGGGCCGCACGCGCGCUACACUGAUUCAUGCAACAAGUUUUGUCCUUGGCUGAUGGGCCUGGGUAAUCUUUGAACGUGAAUCGUGAUGGGGAUAGAUGAUUGCAAUUAUUCAUCUUCAACGAGGAAUUCCUAGUAAACGCAAGUCAUCAGCUUGCAUUGAUUACGUCCCUGCCCUUUGUACACACCGCCCGUCGCACCUACCGAUUGAAUGGUCCGGUGAAAUCUUCGGAUCUGAGAGAUGUCUGAUUAAUUUCGGACGCCUUUUGGAAAAGUUGUUUAAACCUUACCAUUUAGAGGAAGGUGAAGUCGUAACA